rnacentral:lncRNA from 1 species
UCCUUAGUUCAAAUGUCUGUUCUUAGUCAUGGGACUUGACUUGCUAGCUUACGGCGCAUUUAUUGCUUGUGCAGGGCCUCCAUGCUAGUGACAAGACUUGACCUUUAUGCUUAUGACAAACGUUCCAUCAAUCAUUCGAAUAAGAUCUGUGCAGGCGAUCUCUUGGGAGAAGUGACCAUGGAGGAUGUUUCCUUGUGGUUCAGAGGCUCGCGCAUCAGCUUCG